AUCAAUUGAAAGCCAAAUUAUUGAAGAAUCGAAUGCAUGACCUAAGAAUCCUGAUUAUCUAAGUGUUCUUGAUCUCAAGCACGAAGAAGGAAGAAGGCGCAAGUCACUCGAAGGCACAAGUAUCUCAAGAUCGCGGUAAAUCUCAAGUUUAAAUGUGGCGCACUCGGACCGAUCACACGCACACGCAACGCCGACCUUAUGCGCUUCCGGUCCAAGUUGUUUAUUUUGAAUGGGUCAAUUUAACAUUUUGUGUAGUUAAUGUCAAU